GCCUGUGAUUCCUAUGUUGUUCCAAGUAACCUUUGCUUGGUUUUUUUGGGGGGUUUUGUGUUUUUAGAUUUUUCCCAAGGUGAAAGAACUGAAAUAUUCUGUUUCAGACACUGGGCUGGGAUGGUUUAGUCAGGGGUGAUACUACCUUGAGCAUGGGGCUGGACUAGAUGGCUUUGUGAGAUCCCAUCCAGCCCUACUUUCCUAGAAUGCCCCUGUGGCAGCAAUGACUCAUUUGAAUGUCUGCCUUAUCAACUUUCAAUGGUACUUUCUGUGCCUACCAUGGUGACAACAGGUGACAGGGAAUCAGGGUUCAAUUCUAGAAUGGGAGCCUGAAAAAGCCUAGCAUAUCCAAGGAAG
rnacentral:ncRNA from 1 species